UACUUAGUGGCAGACGGGUGAGUAACAUGUGGGUAUCUGCCCUUUGGCCUGGAAUAACACGAGGAAACUUGUGCUAAUACCGGAUAAGUCUUUACGGAGAAAGCUUUAUGCACCAUUGGAUGAGCCCGCACUUGAUUAGUUUGUUGGUGGGGUAAUGGCCUACCAAGACUGUGAUCAAUAGCUGAUUUGAGAGGAUGAUCAGCCACAUUGGGACUGAGACACGGCCCAAACUCCUACGGGAGGCAGCAGUGGGGAAUCUUGCACAAUGGAGGAAACUCUGAUGCAGCGAUGCCGCGUGAGUGAAGAAGGCCUUUGGGUUGUAAAGCUCUUUCGUCGGGGAAGAAAAUGACUGUACCCGAAUAAGAAGGUCCGGCUAACUUCGUGCCAGCAGCCGCGGUAAUACGAAGGGACCUAGCGUAGUUCGGAAUUACUGGGCUUAAAGAGUUCGUAGGUGGUUGAAAAAGUUGGUGGUGAAAUCCCAGAGCUUAACUCUGGAACUGCCAUCAAAACUUUU
rnacentral:rRNA from 1 species